rnacentral:misc_RNA from 1 species
UUUCCGUAGGUGAACCUGCGGAAGGAUCAUUAAAGAACGCCCCGUUUUUUGAAAUGGGUAAUUCUAAACCGUGUAUACAUACCUUUGUUGCUUUGGCAGGCCGCCCCUCAGGGCGUCGGCUCCGGCUGACUGCGCCUGCCAGAGGACCCAGACUCUUUUGUUUAGUGAUGUCUGAGUACUAUAUAAUAGUUAAAACUUUCAACAACGGAUCUCUUGGUUCUG